rnacentral:lncRNA from 1 species
UUUAUCUGCAAUGUUAAGAUUGUUUACAAAACAAAAUAUACAAAAACAUGAAUAAAAUGUCAUGAUAAAUCAAUAAUUUCUGAUGUAUAAAAUCCACACCAAAAUACAUAUUCAAUGGAAAAAAUUAGUAAAUUUAUAUCUUAAAACGCAAUGUCUUAAUGAUUUAUCUCUCAAUUAUUAGUAUUACAAAUGCAUAACAAUCCUACCUUUAAGAAGUACUUAAACUUUUAUGAAUAUUUUAAAUGCCUAUGUAAAAUGUGAUACAAAGGCCGAAUGACGUUUGGUUACAUCUACACCUGUUUUGAACACUUCAUCCUAUGAGUAGAAAUAUGAGUAUCUUCAAGGUCAUAUGCAAAAAUUAUUUGACAUAUUAAUUCAUCCAAUAUGUUGUAGAAUGUGCUAAGUCCCAGCAUUAGGGUAAUUUUUGUUUCUUGUUUUACAACAGAAACUUUGCAUGUGCUACCCAAUUUCUUUCAACAAUAAAGUUUAAAAUAAUCUAAAAUCAAGAUCUGCAACAGAAAUGAGCUGAAAAGACUUAAAGACAUAAAAAAAAUAUGAAUGGAUAUAUAUACUGGAAAAGUUAUGGUAUUUUAUAAAUGCUAUUUUGUACCAAGGGGAAAUAAUCCAGCACACUCAAUGACUGUCUAAUACCUAAUAGUCCUUUGCCUGGAAACAGAUAUAAAUAACAUGUAAUAUGAAAAGACACUCAGCGUGAGGCUCCAAGGCAAUUAUUCAAGUUAUAUGUCAAGAAUGAAGACUUUCAAAAAGGUUUAAUAAUUGGGGCACUUAUGCAUUUAAUCUAAAUAAAAAUCAAAUAUAUACAACAAAUUGCAUUGCAUACUAAGGAACAAUUCUAUAAGAGUUGCGUACAUAAAACUGAAUCAAUUUCAAGAACAACCAAAAAAAUGCACUAAUUUUAUGUAUUUUUUCUCAUUUUUAAAAGUAUCAGUUCUAGAGGCUACCCAUUUUCUAAUUGCAAUGAAAAUGGUCAUUAUCUAAACUAAAAGCAAAAUAGCAAAUAAAAUUUCUCUAAUACUGACAAAAAGACAAGGACAAAUUUAUACAUGAAAAGAAAUAAGAGAAAUACAAACUAGUACUUCACUUAUAAACAAAUACUGCAUUGCUAAAGCUAUAUAUUCAUAAACAAACAAAUACACCAAUUCAGAUGUGCAACAUGGUUUGAGUAUACACGUCUUUAACAGUAAAAAUCGCUUUUGCUAGAGUAUUUUUGCUUAUAUUAUUAAAACGACAAAAUUUAAAUGAGUCAAUAAUUUGAAAACAAAUGACAACCUUUGCUGUAUGAAAUUUUUAAAAUGAUUUGCCUUGAAAACUGCAUAUAUACAGGUAUAAGCAGCUUUCAGGAUGAACCCUAAUCCCUAAGGCCCAGACCAAAACUCUUUUCUGGACGUUAACAUUUUCCACAAGCUAUUAAUUGAAAAUUCACUAAAAAAUUAUGUUAGCCUGAUUUCUAUGUCAAUGUUUUCGAGUAGACUAUUUAAUCUAAAAUAUAAAAAGAGAAACCUACUCUAUAAAUAAUAUCUUAAAAAAAUAUAUAUAAAUAGAAAUAAAUUCUCUAUAAAAACAUGAACAAAAAUCUGACCACAUUUCCACUUAUACAACCUUUAAAUCAAUUCAAUUUGUUCAAAUUAAAUGUUCAACCUUUAUCAUGAUGUUAACCUUAAAUUCAGGAAAAAAUUAUCCUAACAAAGAUGGAUCACACUCCGAAAGUCUGAAUAAUAAUAAUACCUGCCAACUGUCACUAUUUGCAGGGAAUUUCCCACAUGGAGGUUCACAAAUGGAAAUUUUGAAAGAGCAAUUUUUUCCAUAAUUUUAAACAAAACAAUUAAUUUUACAAUGGCUAUAGGCUUGUAAAAGUAUAAAGAAGCCCCAAAACAACAUCAAAAUGUAUUUGAAGGCCCCCUUGCAGGUUUUGUGGGAAUAUAAGAGCCAUCUUGCAAGUAAAACCCCCAUGGACAUUUUGAAAAGUUGACAGGUAUGAUUUAUAACCUUUUCAUUUGGAUAUCUCCAUUAUCAAUGCCCCACAAAUGUUAACAAGUCACUAUACAAUGUUCACCAUGCAUGUAUAAACCUAUUUGAUGGUCAAAUACCGAACGUACAAGGGCUGUAUGGCCAGUCAAGGUCAUUAAAAACUUCCAUUUGUUGAUGGUCAAAUCUAUUUUAAUUGCAUAAUUUCUGUUGACUCUCUUGCUGUCUAGAUUUUAUAAACCAAAUCAUUUCUUAUUAUAGCAUAAGAAAUUUGAAAGAACUGUUCCAUUGUGAAACUCCUAUGUUACAGCAUCAUUAAGAGGCUGAGAAACUUUCAACACAAAAAUAACAAAGCACAUAUGUAAUGCCCAUUUCAAUUGUGGUACAUUUUCUGUACCAAGAUAUCAAUAAUUAUGUUAGAUGCAGAAAUUGAAACUGCUCAGGUGGAACUUUGGCGAUCCAAUAUAACACUUAAGCCUAUUCCAUUAAAAUUGAGGGUAGAAAGAAACUUAAUGAAUCCCCUUAUAACCAACAUACUUGACUUGAGCAAUUUUGUAAACAACAAAUGGUCCAUGAUCCAUGACCCAUUUUCCCUUCCUUCCCUCCCCCAUUCACUUUAAUAGAAUAGUCCUUAACUGACUCAAUCUGUAUCUUUUCAAAGUAAUCUGAAUAUCAACAUUUUUCAAUGAAAAAAAAAUAACAAUUUCUGAAAUAAGUUAUAAAAAGACUUAAAAAUUGCAUUAAAAUUGGUUAAAAUACCAAUAGUUAAUGGUGUACAACAACCAUACAUUACGACAAGAUAUUUCAAAUAUUCUUGCCAAUCAGAUUAUAUGGUGUUAAUAAAAAGUCAUGUCUACAACAAACAAACAUUUUUCUGACCCUGAGUGUACAAAAAAAAAUUAUACUUAAAGGCAAGAAAUUUAUAUUUUGUCAAAAUAUUACUACAUAACUUAUACGAAGCACAUGAAAGCUCACUUAAAAAUUCAGCAUUAUGGCUAAGAAUUUUGGGUAGCUUAAAGCACCUAUACUUCAAGAAACAAGUACAUUUUUUUAUAUAUAUGAAUUAUUAAAACAAUCAUAAUAUAUCACAAAUACUAGGAAUAGAAAGAAAGAAAACUGCUACAUCACUAGCUAUUAUAAAAUGAGAAUUUCAACAGAUCUGUGCCUUGUAUUUCAUUAUUCAUGACAAAAAUAGAAAUAACAAAAUAUUACAAAAAGCA